CCUACGGGAGGCAGCAGUGGGGAAUAUUGCACAAUGGGGGAAACCCUGAUGCAGCGACGCCGCGUGAGUGAAGAAGUAAUUCGUUAUGUAAAGCUCUAUCAGCAGGGAAGAAAAUGACGGUACCUGAGUAAGAAGCCCCGGCUAACUACGUGCCAGCAGCCGCGGUAAUACGUAGGGGGCAAGCGUUAUCCGGAUUUACUGGGUGGAAAGGGAGCGUAGACGGCAGUGCAAGUCUGGAGGGAAAGGCGGGGGCUCAACCCCCGGACUGCUCUGGAAACUGUACGGCUGGAGUGCAGGAGAGGUAAGUGGAAUUCCUAGUGUAGCGGUGAAAUGCGUAGAUAUUAGGAGGAACACCAGUGGCGAAGGCGGCUUACUGGACUGUAACUGACGUUGAGGCUCGAAAGCGUGGGGAGCAAACAGGAUUAGAUACCCUUGUAGUC
rnacentral:rRNA from 1 species